AGACCAUUUCCUACAACUAUGGCUUGUCUGAGUCCUGAGCCAGCAGAGCUCAGGCCACAGCACCUGCACCCGUUUUCUGCUGCUGCACACAAGGGCUCUGUGCAUUCCGCAUCCAGUUAGGAGAUUGCUCCUGCGCUGGGGAGUUGGUGUUAGGACAGAAGAUCCAAGACGCGUUUCAGAGAGCCCCUCUUCUUGGGCCUGCGAUUCCUCACCUGGAAGGGAGAAGAGUGGACUUCCUGCCUAGAGAACACCUUGGUAAACUCUUUGUGGUUCCUGUCAUGAGAAGGUGUGCAGCUUAGGGAAAAAGCCUGUGAGCUCUGGAAUCAGAUGGAACUGGAUAUGAAUUUCCAUUUAGUGCUUGUUGGAUUAAAUGUGAUGCUAGUAAGUACACUUGCCUAGUUGCUGCUCAAGAAAUGGAGCUAUUAUUAUUUACAUCAUAAUUUGAACUUCAUUCAUUCAACCCAUACCGAUGAGCAGCCACAGGCCCUCCUUCCACAGGGCUUACCUUCAGAAAGUUCCACGUGUCCCUUACUUUCUGGUAGGCACAUUCAUGGGCACGUACCAUGCUAAGGACCAGGGACCUGGAGAUGAAGACAGUCCUGUCCACUGAGGGGUUCACAUCUUUCCAUAAAACGUUCUGACCCCCCUGUUUCUUUCUUCU
rnacentral:lncRNA from 1 species